GUGAAGAUGCCUUCCUAGAAAUCAGUUGCUUUUCUGUAGGGCUCCUGGACUCUGAGGAAGCUUCCUUCCUUUUGUAGGCAACUCUCAAAGGGAUAUUUACACUUAUGGAUACUUCCACAUCCCCUUCCCAUGUUAUACAACAAGGAACCUUUCUUUUCUUCUUUUCUUCCAUUAAGAUACCUUCACUACUCUGAUGAAUCAAAACAAUAGGGAACAGGUUAUCAUUGCAUUCCUACCUUCCUCUGUAGGUCCAUGGAAAUUUGUGUCUCUGCUUUGAAUGGUUGUUUAUAUCUGGCAUAAGCUCCUCAUCUCUGGCUUUGCCAGCCUGAACAAGCUAGUCAUACAAAUAUAGAAUGCAGAAGUAUUUGAGAAAUGAAAGCAGCAUGAAUUGCUAAGACAUAAAGAUGUAUGUUCUGGAGAAUACUAAUGAAGUGAAGUAUGGUGACAUGUAUUAACCAUCACUGCAAUUACCAAAAUGGAGCCAUUUUAAGUAAAUGAAGGAGACAUCUGGAUGAAACUGACACUACAGUGAUUAGUUAAUUAAAGAUCAGCUAUCAAAAAAAGA